UUCCCCUAAGGUAACGGCGAGUGAACCGGGAAGAGCUCAAAUUUGAAAUCUGGCGUGCUCAGUGCGUCCGAGUUGUAAUCUAUAGAGGCGUUUUCCGUGCCGGACUGUGUCCAAGUCCCUUGGAACAGGGUAUCAAAGAGGGUGAUAAUCCCGUACUUGACACAAUGACCGGUGCUCUGUGAUACGUCUUCUACGAGUCGAGUUGUUUGGGAAUGCAGCUCAAAAUGGGUGGUGAGUUCCAUCUAAAGCUAAAUAUUGGCGAGAGACCGAUAGCGAACAAGUACCGUGAGGGAAAGAUGAAAAGCACUUUGGAAAGAGAGUUAAACAGUACGUGAAAUUGUUAAAAGGGAAACGAUUGAAGUCAGUCGUGACUGAGAGGCUCAGCCGGUUCUGCCGGUGUAUUCCCCUCAGUCGGGUCAACAUCAGUUUUGUUCGGUGGAUAAGGGCAGCUGGAAGGUAGCACCCUCGGGUGUGUUAUAGCCAGUUGUCGCAUACAUCGGAUGAGACUGAGGAAUGCAGCUCGCCUUUAUGGCCGGGGUUCGCCCACGUCCGAGCUUAGGAUGUUGACAUAAUGGCUUUAAACGACCCGUCUGAAA
rnacentral:rRNA from 1 species